CACUGUUAGAAAUCCAAGAGAAGAGAUCCUCUUCCCUUAACACAGAAUGGAAUCAUCAGAGGAAAAAUCUGUUUCUUAAUCAAUUAGUUUCAGCGUUUGUACCUCUCUCUCUUUGGAUCGAUGACAUCCUCUUCUCGAGCAAGGCGUGGUGAGAUCGUGCACCAGCUUGUACAAUACACCUGUCAAUCCAGUACCUAAACCUGAUGGUACCUGACGUUUUACACAAGAUUUAUGACUCUGUGGUCUGUGUGUUCUGGUAUCUGCUGAGUCACCAGAAAUCUGCCAAGACACUGACACUUGCACCUGCUCCACCAUCUGGCACACAAGGGCUUUAAGGUUUUCAGGACCAAGCUGCAAUAUUGCAUGGACACUUAAGUAUUUGAACUUUUGAAGUUUUGAACUUUCUCAAGGCUGUCAUUCUAGACACAAAACGCCCUGCAACUAAACAUGCACUGAUGUCUUUUCUGGGUCAGAAAAUGGAUCCCUGACUGCUCUUUAUAUGACAAGCUUCUCCGUUCUGCAAUCUCUCAUCACGAUCCACUGCAACAUCCUUUGCCCUGGACUGACGCUAUGGUGGUCGCUUAUCACUCCCUCAAAAGCACCCUUCGUUCCGCCCCUGGGGUUACCUGAUCACUUCAAGCCCUUCCACCUCUAUGCCUGUGAACACCAGGGCACAGCC